ACGAAAUGCAGCAACGCGCAUACGAAAUGUCAACAGUGUUACACGUGGUGACCUCAGUUAAGGAAACAUUAAGGUGAUUGUAGGCCUAUCAUCAAUAUCGGCAGUGCUUUGAAAUCUGCUGUCUGCCCUACUGUCUGAGAUAACACCACAAAUGCUGCAAUUGCGUUAAUGCAUAAUGGUUUUCCCUUAAAAGUCAAGGAAGUGCAUGUUCAGUGUGAUACUCGUAUGUGAGUGAACUAGUUGCAUCUGUCUUUCCGUUGGGGAGGUUUUAUUUUUCUAUGCAUUGCCAAUAAAAUGUAUGUUCAUAAUUA